AGAACUGACACGGUGGACGGAGAAGGAGAGGAAGACAAAUUAAAGCGCUUAUCUGCUGGACAACAUCUUCCCCCGAGCUCGAUGGAACACUUACACAAAAACGUGAAGUACGACGCACUGUGGCAGAUGAACUUGAUGAACGGUUUGCGCAUCGUUUGGCCGAGCGACGAGUGUGGUGCGAUGAUGUACGAGAAGGAAAACAGCGGAAACAUGAUGCCUGCAAAAAACGGGAGAACGAACAGGAAAGGGCUUACCUUAACUCGUUUAUCUGCAAAUUUCUCCGCCGACGGCGUCAUGUACUGUGGCAGCGGUAUGUCUACCUUCGUGUCUCUACGCUCGUUGGUCAACAUGGUGGCAGCUGCUGCUGUUGUUGUUGGUGCUGCCAUGCCUCCUCCUCCUCCUCCUGCUCCUGCUCCACCACCACUUGGUCCGCCGCCCCCCAUCGCAGACGUCAGAUCGGUGGUGGAGUCACCAUCGCCGCCGGCUGCCGGUCCGCUGCCCCGCUGGGUCGCCGCCCGCUGGGUCAUGGAUUCCGGGGUCGACGUACGCCGAGCAGCCGAUUUUUCAUUCUUGAUGAAUAGUUUACUCUUUAGCGUUGUACUUUCCAUCGAGUCGUUUUGCCCCACAUUUUCUUCACCACUUUCUGCAAAACCGGAGGGAAAGGAGAAGAGACGGUGGUUAGGUGCGAGGUGCUUGCGAUGGUGUUUUCUGCACGCGACUAGCUGGAAAGGAUUAGAUUAGGCAUGCAGCACAUUGACAGCUUCUGUGUGUGUGGGGAUGGGUUUUUUGCUUGUUUGCUGCUAGUUUGAAGGACAGAGGUAAGGUAAACGAGCUUUGUAGAACGAUUUGAAACAAGCUACCAAGAAGUAAAUAGAGCAGAUGGAUUAAAAUUUUACUAAAACAAUGUCCUACUAGAGAAGGAAGAUCAAGAUUAUUCGAAAAAGUUAUUGAACGAUAUUAGAAAAAAUUAGGAAAAGUUUUUAACUUGUUACCAAAAGAGCAGCAAAUAGAGAGAAGAAGACUUACAGAGAACAUGAACGAGAAAGAAAUCUACCGGAAAAAAGACAUAUAAAAGAUUAAAACAGGAACAAUAACAUUCAAACAAAGCCAUAACAAGCUAACAUUGCUAUGCGAAUUGUCUACUUUUAGGCGUUUUAAUCAAUAAUCUUUUAACGAUUGAUUUUUUUCAAAUCAAAAUUACCUUGCUUUGGCUUUGUUAAGAGCUUAUUUGCUUCUCAUUACCAAGUUUUAAGUCUGGAAAAAUAAAACAACACAUAAAAA